GACGAACGCUGGCGGCGUGCUUAACACAUGCAAGUCGAACGAAGUGGAGAACGGGGGAGUAAUACGUGGGUAACCUGCGCUCCUUUUUGGGAUAAGCCUUGGAAACGGGGUCUAAUACCGACUAAAGGGGGAUGGGAUCGUGGCCUAUCAGCUUGUUGGUGGGGUAAUGGCCUACCAAGGCGGGGACGGGUAGCCGGCCUGAGCGGGUGACCGGCCACAUUGAGACUGAGAUACGGCCCAGAAUCGUACGGGAGGGAGCAGUGGGGGAUAUUGCACAAUGGGCGACAGCCUGAUGCAGCGACGCCGCGGGGGGGAUGAAGGCUUUCGGGUUGUAAACCUCUUUCGCUACCGAACGGGUAGGUGGAGAAGAAGCGCCGGCUAACUACGUGCCAGCAGCCGCGGUAAUAC
rnacentral:rRNA from 1 species